UCCACGGGUCCUGGAGAGCCACUCCUCAUAGGUGAACACGGACACCUCCUCUGUGGCCAGGUUACGCAGGACCACCUGCAAGCACAGAGUUAGCUGACAAAAAGUAUGAAUGCUCACUUAAUCAUGCUUACAAUAAAAACAAAGCUAACAUUUUGAUUUUAAAGGUAGAAUGUUUUCCACUUUGGAUCAACGUGUUGGUAAGAGAACAUUUAUUAAUUAGUGCACCUCAGGCUGAUGGAAACGUCCAAAAAUCAUGGACAAGUUAAAAAUGUUGACCUGAUGAUGGCGCUAGAAGGACAAUUAACCUUUUCAGCUUGAAUGUCUGCACCAAACGUUACGGUACUCCAUUCAAAUAGUUGAGAUAUCUCAGUCAGAUCCGAAGAGAUGGACCGACAUCCCAGCGUGGAUUAAAGAAGAGUUGAUAUGAAUGAAUAAAUGAUCACAUCAUGGACACACACCCUGCCUCCCCCAGGAUGUCUGAUGUCUGAUCACCGGUCCUGGGAAUCGUUUCAUUACAAGAUAAAGACUCAGCUCAGGCAGCCGCACUCGUAAUAACUCUCCACUCUGCAUAUUUAUUUGUGCAGAUUACUCUGCUGGCAGCCUGCCCGGUGCACUGUCGUGUCCUUUUCAAUACAUGCACCCGGCGAUCCAUGAAGGCAGCACAUCUGCUUGUGAUGCCGAACACACAGGGCUCUGUGCAGGGUCAAGUCAAGGAGAUGUUUCGCAGUCGCCGAGUCCCAGGCACGAGCGGACAGGGCCCGCUAUUGUUCCUGACUGCUGGGCUGCUCUGCAGGCAGUGGUGACUUCACCAGGGGAGACAUUUGCAUAGGAAAUGUGUUCUGUUUCCUCCAAACAUUUGGCCACAGACGUCAGACAGAAUUUGGAGGUGAGCGGCGGCAGUUGCACUUCCAAAGUCAUCGAAGGAGAAAAUAACUAGGUGUAUUAAUGGAGUUGAUUAUGUUGCUGGAAUAUUCAUUAAAAUUAGGGAUAUUUGCACAACCGCACACCAUUUCACUCUUAAGGAAAUUCAAAAUCUCUGAGUACUGACUACACCAACACGCUGUGCUCAUUGCUGCGUGUGCACGAGGGUGAUGGUGCCAGAACAAAGAGCGUGAUAUUUCUUGCAUCUAAACACGUUUAUCCUGGUGCCUACUUUACCCACAAUGCAACUGAACCACUGACUGAUUGUUGACUAGAGCUGCCUCAGGCAGAGAUGAGGAGGAGGCCACAGAGGUCAGGUGAUCUGACCUGAUCCAGGAACCAGUCGGGUCGACUGCCGGAGCCAUCGAUGCGAAGCCUCAUUUUCCUCAGUGGAGCGACGUCAUCGAUCUCCAUGUUGAAAGUGUCCUCCUG